ACAUGAUUAAGAUGUUGCUGUUACAAAAACCUGAAUGACAUUACAUCAGGAAUGAAAACAAAUGUAGGGCGUGGCUUGAUUUUGUCCCUUAAUUGGAGGGUUGUGGCUUGCUACUGGUGGAUCUCAUGUGAGUGACAGGUUGGUCCUUACACUUCUAAAAAACAAUUACAGAAGACUUGUGGAUUGCUAUUGGUGAAUUUUUAGUGAGUGACAGGUUGAUCCCGCCCUCACACUUGUAAACACCAAUCAGAGAAGACUUGUGGCUUGCUAUUGGUAGUUGUCAUAAGAGUGACAGGUUGGUCCCGCCCUCACACUUGUAAUCACCAAUCAGAGAAGACUUGUGGCUUGCUAUUGGAGGAUCUCAUGUUAGUGACAUGUUGGUCCCGCCCUCACAUUUUUAAAAAACAAUCACAGAUGAGUUGUUGCUUGCUAUUUGUGGAUCUCAUGUUGGUGACAAGUUGAUCCCGCCCUCACACUUCCAAAAAAAACAAUCGCAGAAGAGUUGUGGCUUGCUAUUGGUGGAUCUCAUGUGAGUGACAGGUUGGUCCCGCCCUCACACUUGUAAACACCAAUCAGAGAAGACUUGUGGCUUGCUAUUGGUAGUUCUCAUAAGAGUGACAGGUUGGUCCCGCCCUCACACUUGUAAUCACCAAUCAGAGAAGACUUGUGGCUUGCUAUUGGAGGAUCUCAUGUUAGUGACAUGUUGGUCCCGCCCUCACAUUUUUAAAAACCAAUCACAGAUGAGUUGUUGCUUGCUAUUUGUGGAUCUCAUGUUGGUGACCAGUUGAUCCCGCCCUCACACUUCCAAAAAAAACAAUCGCAGAAGAGUUGUGGCUUGCUAUUGGUGGAUCUCAUGUGAGUGACAGGUUGAUCCCGCCCUCACACUUCCAAAAAAAACAAUCGCAGAAGAGUUGUGGCUUGCUAUUGGUGAAUCUCAUGUGAGCGACAGGUUGAUCCCGCCCUCACACUUAUAAAAACCAAUCACAGAUGAGUUGUUGCUUGCUAUUGGUGGAUUUCAUGUGAGUGACAGUUUGAUCCCGCCCUCACACUUGUAAACACCAAUCAGAAGAGUUGUGGCUUGCCAUUGGUAGAUGUCAUGUGAGUGACAGGUUGGUCCCGCCCUCACACUUCUAAAAAACAAUUACAGAAGAGUUGUGGAUUGCUAUUGGUGGAUCUCAUGUGAGUGACAGGUUGGUCCAGCCCUCAUACUUGUAAACACCAAUCAGAGAAGAGUUGUGGCUUGCUAUUGGAGGAUCAAAUGUGAGUGCCAGGUUGAUCUCGCUCUCCAACUUGUAAACACCAAUCAGAAAAGACUUGUGGCUUGCUAUUGGUGGAUCUCAUAUUAGUGACAUGUUGGUCUUGCCCUCACACUUCAUAAAACCAAUCACAGAAGAGUUGUUUCUUGCUAUUUGUGGAUCUCAUGUUGGUGACAAGUUGAUCCCACCCUCACACUUCCAAAAAA